CAGAGGGAGAAGCAGGCUCCAUGCAGGGAGCCCAACAUAGGACUUGAUCCCGGGACCCCAGGAUCACACCCCGGGCCGAAGGCGCUAAACCACUAAGCCACCCGGGCUGCCCGCAUCAAACCUUUUAAUCUACUUUUUGGAAGAACUCGUCUUGCCCACUCUGCCUCAGUUUGCCAGCUAUUAUCUUAUCUUCACUUCCUAGCAGUUUCCUUUCAACCUUCCAUCAUAGUUCCACAGUAGAAAAACUCAGGUGAUCUUUCCUUCCCUCAGUCUGAAUUCUGUGCCUUCUUCAUGACUCAACACUCAAUCUUAUUUGUUUCUAAUUCCCAUGUCCCAUAUUCCAUUUAUGUAUCUGUAACUAUGAAGUAUGCCAUGUCUGCAUCUCUGUGGUUCAUUGACAGGCGGGCCUAGUCAAGUAAGUACAAACCAGUGAUUGCAAAAGAUAGGUUUCAACUAUAUGAUACAACUAUUUAGCUACAUAAGGAUAGCUAUCAUCCUUCUAAAGGUGUUGUACUGGUGCAGUCAUCUUGAGAGCAAGAAUACUCAAAAAAAAAAAAUCACACAGAAGAAAACUAGAAUUUAAAAUAUUACAUUCAACAACUGCAUGUUUCCUGGUUGUUUCUUUUGUAUCUGCUGAAAAUAUCUAUCAGUGUUUUAUGUGCAGUUAGUGCUCACAAGUACUUGGCUUGGCUGUCCAUGGCUUAGUAUCAGGUCAUUACAGGCUAUAUAUAAUAGGUAGGUGCUACUUAGUACCUUAGAGAAUUUAGAUAUUCAACCACAUGAAACAACUGAGAUUAAUGAUAAAGUGACAAACAGUGAAUAAUACUAUUAUGAGUCAAGCAUUACUCUGAGCACACUACAUCAUUUCAUUCAAGAGUCACAAUGAGGCAGGUGCUUUCUAAGAGACACUGUGGCUCGGCAUUUAAGUCACACUCAAAUCGCACAGCCAGGAAAGGAGCCAUGACCUGGACAGAAUGUAGCCAAUGGCAGAUGUGACCAGAUGCACAUGAAGAGAAAUUACAAGUGAGAAUGUAAGACCUCUUAGAUAGGCCGCUUCCAUACCAUAAAAACUUGCCUGAAACUUCAAGAUCAUCCAGCCCAGCCAAGAGCAGGCAAAUUUUGACUAGUGGACCAAUUUCUCUCUUCAAACAGCCUCACAGGAAGACAUCUAUUGAUAAGAUCAGCACAAAUGAAUUUGCCAUUUUCAUAUCAGGAUCUUCUGAGGAGCAACCAAAGACAGCAUUUGAGUGUUUGUCUACUUCCCACAAACAUCUAGCAUCAGCGGUUUCUUUUUUAGCAGGAGAAAAAGUUUCUGGUCAAGAAUGAGGCCUCUUGGGGCACCUGAGUGACUCAGUGGUUGAGUGUCUGCCUUUGG